AUUUAUUGUUAUUGUUGUUCGUUUAAUAUAAAAAUGAAAAACCAACUUGUAAAAUCGUAACAAGAUGCAGCUUCUCACGUUCGUUGUAACCUUUACUUUGCCUUAUUUUGUUUUCUCCAAACCUAACCUGGUUUCCGUCAUCGAAAACGCUUGUAAGCCAGAAAAGGACUACAAAGACCAGUCAGAAAUAAGCUAUAGAAAGAACAUAGCAGAGAAUCAAGAAGAUGGACUCAUUGUUGCCAGUGCAUUCGAAGGUGCUAAGCAUGCUUAUGAGGGUUGUGUACAAGCAAUGAAAAUGUUGAUGAAUAUUCAAAUUGAAGAUAGAAAGAACAGACCGUGGCGUAAAGGUGGACUCCCUCUUGAAAUGGUGAUCAAUCAAAACUGUUUCUCCCAAAGCACGACCAAGCAAUUAUUUGACUGUUUGCGUUAUGUUUCACAAUAAAAAAACAUCUUAUUUUG